rnacentral:lncRNA from 1 species
CCAAUCAGCAGGAGGUGGGUGGGGCCAGAUAAGAGAAUAAAAGCAGGCUGCCCGAGCCAGCAGUGGCAACCCGCUAGGGUCCCCUUGCACCCUGUGGGAGCUUUUUCUUUAACUCUUUGCAAUAAAUCUUGCUACUACUCACUUUUUAGGUCCCCACUGCUUUUAUGAGCUGUAACACUUGCCGCCAAGGUCUGCAGCUUCACUCCUGAAGCCAGCGGGACCACGAGCCCACUGGGAGGAACGAACAACUCCAGAGGCCCUGCUUUAAGAGCUGUAACACUCCCCGCCAAGGUCUGCAGCUUCACUCCUGAGCCAGCGAGACCAUGAACCCACCAGAAGGAAGAAACUCCCAACACAUCCGAGCAUCAGAAGGAACAAACUCCAGACGCGCCACUUAAGAGCUGUAACACUCACUGCGAGGGUCCGUGGCUUCAUUUUUGAAGUCAGUGAGACCAAGAACCCACCAAUUCCGGACACACCGGCACUUUGGGAGGCUGAAGCAGGAGGAUCACGAGAUUAUAUGCUGAAUCUCAAUGAUGGUAAGCCAUGAGAUUUAGAGAGCUGUACCACGAGCAAUCUGAUUUACCCAGUUUCCAGAAUGUUUGCCUGUUUGCAGCAGUCUGCCUCAAUACUGAAGUUUAGCAUACUUGAAAAUUGCAAACCUUUAGCUAAAAAUAACCAUUACACAUUCUCACGUUGAAAGGGAAAAGUUUUGCUUGCUGAUGUUACAGUGAUAAGAAAGGAAAGAAAGAAAAAGAGAGAAAGAAAGGAAGGAAGGAAGGGAAAGAAAGAAAGGAAAGAAAGAAAG